GGCGGCGUGCCUAACACAUGCAAGUCGAGCGGGGAGUGUCUGGGGAGGCUUGCUUCCGGUACAUUCUAGCGGCGGACGGGUGAGUAACGCGUGAGCAACCUAGCCUUUAACAGGGGGAGUAACGCAUCGAAAGAUGUGCUAAUACCGCAUAAGACCACGGUUUCACAUGGGACAGGGGUCAAAGGAGCAAUCCGGUUAAAGAUGGGCUCGCGUCCGAUUAGCUAGUUGGUGAGAUAACAGCCCACCAAGGCGACGAUCGGUAGCCGACCUGAGAGGGUGAUCGGCCACAUUGGAACUGAGAUACGGUCCAGACUCCUACGGGAGGCAGCAGUGGGGAAUAUUGGGCAAUGGGCGAAAAAGCCUGACCCAGCAACGCCGCGUGAGGGAAGAAGGGUUUCGGCUCGUAAACCUCUGUCCUGUGGGACGAAGGAAGUGACGGUACCACAGGAGGAAGCCCCGGCUAACUACGUGCCAGCAGCCGC
rnacentral:rRNA from 1 species